rnacentral:rRNA from 1 species
GAUGAACGCUAGUGGCAGGCUUAACACAUGCAAGUCGAGGGGCAGCACGGGUAGCAAUACCUGGUGGCGACCGGCGCAAGGGUGCGUAACGCGUGAGCAACAUGCCCUAUACAGGGGGAUAAUCCAGGGAAACUUGGUCUAAUAUCCCAUAGUAUUUAGAGGAGGCAUCUUCUAUAAAUUAAAGCUUCGGUGGUAUAGGAUUGGCUCGCGUGACAUUAGCUAGAUGGUGAGGUAACGGCUCACCAUGGCAAUGAUGUCUAGGGGUUCUGAGAGGAAGGCCCCCCACACUGGGACUGAGACACGGCCCAGACUCCUACGGGAGGCAGCAGUGAGGAAUAUUGGACAAUGGAUGGAAAUCUGAUCCAGCCAUGCCGCGUGCAGGAAGACAGCCCUAUGGGUUGUAAACUGCUUUUAUAUGGGAGCAAUAAGGUCUACGUGUAGACUGAUGAGAGUACCAUAUGAAUAAGC